UCUGCUCCAACCAUGUCACUCUCAGGUUUUGUUUUUUUUUUUUAAAAAAAAUACUGUUAUUUCUAAGGUUCCUGUUGCCCUAAGUGGGCUCAAUUGUCUUGACUUCCCUUUGGGAUUUGUUUUAUGUGGUAAUAUUUAUGUGAUUUUCAGAAAGAGAAUGGGGCAAGGGCAAAUGGUAAUCUCCCUCAUCCUAUGAAGCAUGGUUCCAACACACACACACACACACACACACACACACACACACACACACACACACACACAGAGAGAGAGAGAGAGAGAGAGAGAGAGAGAGAGAGAGAGAGAGAGAGAGAGAGAGAGAGAGAGAGCAGAGGUCUCUAUGCACUUGGGGGAUACUCACAGACCAGUUUCUAAGCCGGAGAGGAGGGAAAACCACAACAAAGUGAUGCCAGAAAGUUGAGCAUCAGAUGAAGUGUGCAACAUGGACACUCAUAUACACCAGCAAAAAAUUACAUCAGAUCUCAGAGAGACACUCCUGUACCCUAAGAGGAAAACAGAAUGGGAUACAAGCAGUGAAUGUUACAAAUUACAGUGAAUGUGCGAGCAUCAUGUCCCACUUCCUCGGAUGGCAAGCAACUCCAAAGCAGAGGUUAUUCUAGGUGUUCGGAGAUCUAGUUGCUGACCUGCCCAUUUCUAAAUAAAAUCUGAGGUAUUUCCUGCUUUCAGUCUCCCACCUUUUCAGGUGAAGCUGUGUGGAGAUGCUGAGCCAGUGCUUGAAAUGAAGGAUGGACUAGAUGAGAACCAUACACUGAAGUUCAAUACAAAUAUGAUGUUGCCGAGGAUGAUUCGUCUGAUGUCGGCAUCAGUAUCUAGCUAGUUCUGGACAGAUGUGCUCUUUCCCUGACAGACAAAAGUCAUAGCUUGGGAUGGGGGUAGAAUUUUAUCUGUCCCUAUCUGUGGUAGCUUGAGGAGCAACUUUCUCUGAAUUUGUGUGAUGUCUGUUGCUUGUCCUCCCCAUUUUUUUGUCCAGCAUUCUUCUGUUUUUUGUUCUGCUGUAUUGUUAUACUGAGAUGGAUUUUUCUCUUGUUUUUUGUAAACUACCUUGAGUUUCUUUUGGAAGAAAGGUAGGGUAUACAUUUUCCAACCAACCAACCAACCAACCAACCAACCAACCAUGACACAAAUUAUUUGUCAUUAGCCGCGACUGCUACAGUAUUUGUGACUUGCAUAGUCAUUUGAGACCUGGGUCCCUUAAGGACUCCCUUCUCCCACAUGAACCUGUCUAGAUGUCCUCUGAUUAUUUUCAGAGGCCUUUCUCUGAUUUCCAUCCUUCUCUGAGUAAAGAGGUAGGUAGACACUUUAGGUAUGGCCUUUUCAGUUAUGGCCCCUGUCGGGGUCCCUCCCUGAUGCCCCUCUCAAUUCCAGGGUGGUGAUUUGUUUUUAUUGUUCUAUGACAAUUUAGUCUCCAGGUUCUGGGAAUUCAUUUCAGUUCUUACUGUCCUUCGCUGCCACUAUAUACAUUCUUGUUACCCUGCUCUCGGUACUCAACACCUUUAUUUUAAACUAGCUGGCUGGGCACAGAACAUUUAUGCCCCUAGUUUCCCCUGACUUCUCCCUGACUCUCCCCCACCCCGCCUCCGGCAGCCACCUCCAGCCAGCCAGCCAGCCAGCCACCACCUCCUCCUGCCGUCCACCUCCUCAGGCCAGUGCGGCUUUGGCUAUUGGCUGCUGGCCUCCUAACGCCUCCUCUGUGCCCAGGCCAGCGAGGUCCGGCCUCACUGCUUUCCCCCGCCCACCCAAACUGCUGGCUGUCCACGUGUGCAGAACUCUCACGAGAGUUCCGCCACGUAUGUGAAUUCUGCCACGCAUCCCCACUAUGAGUCUACGAGAAUUAAGUAUAUAGAUUCCUCCCCCUCUGAACCUUCCGUGCCUGGUUACUAGGGUAACCCACACACACUCACGCAGUCACUCACCAGCUCCUAUAUAUGUCCCAUCACAGCCCCUUACAUCUGAAAUCCCCCCCCCGGGGGCUCAAUUGGUACCAUCUGAGGUCUUUUCAGAAUCACACAAAGUCCUUUUUAUUUCCCCAGACCUAUUAGAUUUUUAAGUUUUUGUGCUGUUUCACCUAGCUAUCAUUUUCAUAACUUGUCUGCCCUGUUUAUUUUGAUUUUUUUGUUUGUUCGAUAUUUGUUUGUUUAAUUAUUGAAAGCCUUCAAGCUGAAGAGUGGGGAUAUGAAAUGUUCCAAAUAAAAAUUUAAAAUAAACAGAUGUAAGCAAACCAAUAAAGAUUAACUAAAAACAGAUUUAAAAACUCUAACUGCAGACCUUCCCCAUUACUUUCUUUUCCCAUUUCUCAUCCGUACUGUUGUGAUGGUUUCUAGAUCAUGGAAAUCUCCCACUUUUCUGAUGUACAAGAGUUGAAGCAAGAUGGAAAAUGCCUAAGUCUCCUCAUACUCACUUAUUCUGUGUGUGUGUUUCUUCCCUACCAGCAUAUAAAGUGCAAGAUGAGUCAUAUUCAAUUUCCUCUCUGCCAAGGAACUCUUCCUUUAUAGUGACCUGAUGCAAGAGAAGAGAUUGUCAAGCUAAGAUCCCAUGGUCAUUCCAAAGUGCAACAACAGCACACCAUAUAAUGUGAUGGAUUUUCUUGAUGGAGUAAAUGGCAGGCAUUUAGGUUGAUGAAUACUGUGGCUCUGAAAGAAGGCUGGAUGAUCAUUUCUUCCUGAUAUAUAUGCUUAAACUGGUGAAUAAUCUCUCUCUCUCUCUCUCUCUCUCUCUCUCUCUCUCUCUCUCUCUCUCCACACACCCCUUUCUCACACACACCAGCAGUAGGUUAUGGUGAUUCCACCCUUGUCACAUGGGUGAUCCCAUCCAGUCAGGGAUUAUGUAGUAAUUGGGAUGAUGUCAUGAUGCUGCAUCAUUGGUGACGAUGUCUCUAGGCAUUUGCUGCUCUGCUGAUUAAUUUUGUUCUUUCUCUCUCCCCCAACUCCCUGCCACCUUAGCUUCUGGCAUCUCCUUCUACAGCUAGUUGAGUUGUGUGCAUUCAGCUGUUUUCUCUGCAAGGAUCAAGGGGGAAAUUGUGCUUUUGGAUCCAUUGCCAAUCCAUUUGAAAUUGAUUGGGGCUUGGAUUCCAUUU